ACCAGACUCCUACGGGAGGCAGCAGUCGGGAAUAUUGCGCAAUGGAGGAAACUCUGACGCAGUGACGCCGCGUGCAGGAAGAAGGUUUUCGGAUUGUAAACUGCUUUAGACAGGGAAGAAAGAAAUGACGGUACCUGUAGAAUAAGCUCCAGCUAACUACGUGCCAGCAGCCGCGGUAAUACGUAGGGAGCAAGCGUUAUCCGGAUUUAUUGGGUGUAAAGGGUGCGUAGGCGGAAUGCCAAGUCAGCGGUAAAAUCGCGGGGCUCAACCUCGCUCCGCCGUUGAAACUGGCGUUCUUGAGUGGGCGAGAAGUAUGCGGAAUGCGUGGUGUAGCGGUGAAAUGCAUAGAUAUCACGCAGAACUCCGAUUGCGAAGGCAGCAUACCGGCGCCCAACUGACGCUGAAGCACGAAAGCGUGGGUAUCGAACAGGAUUAGAUACCCCCGUACCA
rnacentral:rRNA from 1 species